rnacentral:rRNA from 1 species
AACGAACGCUGGCGGCAUGCCUAACACAUGCAAGUCGAACGAGACCUUCGGGUCUAGUGGCGCACGGGUGCGUAACGCGUGGGAACCUGCCCUUAGGUUCGGAAUAACUCCCCGAAAGGGGUGCUAAUACCGGAUAAUGUCUUCGGACCAAAGAUUUAUCGCCUUUGGAUGGGCCCGCGUUGGAUUAGCUAGUUGGUAGGGUAAAAGCCUACCAAGGCGACGAUCCAUAGCUGGUCUGAGAGGAUGAUCAGCCACACUGGGACUGAGACACGGCCCAGACUCCUACGGGAGGCAGCAGUGGGGAAUAUUGGACCAUGGGCGAAAGCCUGAUCCAGCAAUGCCGCGUGAGUGAUGAAGGCCUUAGGGUUGUAAAGCUCUUUUACCCGGGAUGAUAAUGACAGUACCGGGAGAAUAAGCGCCGGCUAACUCCGUG